AGAGCUGUUUUGGGUUGGAAUCAGUCAGCUACAUCUGGCAACACUGCGUGGCGCAAUGCAUUCAAAUAGAUGUAACGUUAACACAGCUGUAGGGCAUUUUAAGAAAAGAAAACGAAACCUUUUUGGCCGCAUUACAAAUACAGUAGUUACCGUUGAACUUUAGUGACACUUGUUGUGACGAAAAUAUGCGUGUUUUAAAAAAAGAUUAAUUUAAGAAGUAACCUGAAGCAGGUGAGGAGAUCAGCUGUGGUCCGCCGUCGGCGAGCGGCUCAUGACCAGACCAGUCGCUUUUCUCAUGACCAGACCAGUCGCUUUUUUUCCCACGAUCGCCGGAACUUUUACAACAUUUUAAAGCAGUUUCAGCUCAAAAUGGACCCACUAUCAGUUUGUGAGCUGAUAUGCAGUGGAAAUUGACAUCCAGAAGGAAGUCAUAAAGGAAACACCAGCUGAUACAAGUG